ACCGGAGUGGACGCAUCACUGGUGUUCGGGUUGUCAUGCCAAUGGCACUGCCCGGUAGCUACAUGCGGAAGAGAUAAGUGCUGAAAGCAUCUAAGCACGAAACUUGCCCCGAGAUGAGUUCUCCCUGACUCUUUGAGAGUCCUGAAGGAACGUUGAAGACGACGACGUUGAUAGGCCGGGUGUGUAAGCGCAGCGAUGCGUUGAGCUAACCGGUACUAAUGAACCGUGAGGCUUAACCUUACAACGCCAAAG
rnacentral:rRNA from 1 species